rnacentral:rRNA from 1 species
CGGGGCUUGACAUUAUCUUGCCAGUCUAAGAAAUUAGAUCUUCUUCCUUUCGGGGAAGACAGGAUAACAGGUGGUGCAUGGUUGUCGUCAGCUCGUGUCGUGAGAUGUUGGGUUAAGUCCCACAACGAGCGCAACCCUUGUGCUUAGUUGCUAACUUGUUUUACAAGUGCACUCUAAGCAGACUGCCGCAGAUAAUGCGGAGGAAGGUGGGGAUGACGUCAAAUCAUCAUGCCCCUUACGUCCCGGGCUACACACGUGCUACAAUGGCCUGUACAGAGGGUAGCGAAAGAGCGAUCUUAAGCCAAUCCCAAAAAGCAGGUCCCAGUUCGGAUUGGAGGCUGCAACUCGCCUCUAUGAAGUAGGAAUCGCUAGUAAUCGCGGAUCAGCACGCCGCGGUGAAUACGUUCC